rnacentral:misc_RNA from 1 species
AAGACUAUAGACCUGCGGAGUACCUGCGGAGGGAUCAUUACAGAGUUACUACUCCAAACCCAUUGUGAACCUUACCUAUGUUCUGUUGCCUCGGCGGCGCGGUCAGCGCCCCUCUGAAAAGAGGACGAUGCCCUCCCGCCGGCAGCACCAAACUCUUGAAUUUUACAGCGGAUUACAGUUCUGAUUUAAAAACAAAAAAAACAAGUUAAAACUUUUAGCAAUGGAUCUCUAGAUCGGAAG